rnacentral:rRNA from 1 species
AUUGAACGCUGGCGGCGUGCUUAACACAUGCAAGUCGAACGAUGAACCAGGGCUUGCCCUGGGGAUUAGUGGCGAACGGGUGAGUAACACGUGGGCAACCUGCCCCAGACACCGGGAUAACCAUUCGAAAGAGUGGCUAAUACCGGAUACGACCACUUUGGGCAUCCAACGGUGGUGGAAAGGAUUCUGGUCUGGGAUGGGCCCGCGGCCUAUCAGCGUGUUGGUGGGGUAAUGGCCUACCAAGGCGACGACGGGUAGCCGGCCUGAGAGGGCGCCCGGCCACACUGGGACUGAGACACGGCCCAGACUCCUACGGGAGGCAGCAGUGGGGAAUAUUGCGCAAUGGGCGAAAGCCUGACGCAGCGACGCCGCGUGAGGGACGAAGGUCUUCGGAUUGUAAACCUCUUUCAGCAGGGACGAAGCGAAAGUGACUGUACCUGCAGAAGAAGCACCGGCUAACUACGUGCCAGCAGCCGCCGUAAGAC